GGAGAUAGGCUGUAGCUCAGUGGUACAGCAUCUGCUUUGCCUGCAGAAUAUCCUGGGUUCAAUCCCUAGCGUCUCCU